rnacentral:tRNA from 1 species
GGCCCGUUGGUCAAGCGGUUAAGACACCGCCCUUUCACGGCGGUUUCACGGGUUCGAAUCCCGUACGGGUCACCA